UCCGUAGGGCGCAAGCGUUAUCCGGAAUUAUUGGGCGUAACGCGCUCGUAGGCGGUUUGUCGCGUCUGCCGUGAAAGUCCGGGGCUCAACUCCGGAUCUGCGGUGGGUACGGGCAGACUAGAGUGAUGUAGGGGAGACUGGAAUUCCUGGUGUAGCGGUGAAAUGCGCAGAUAUCAGGAGGAACACCGAUGGCGAAGGCAGGUCUCUGGGCAUUAACUGACGCUGAGGAGCGAAAGCAUGGGGAGCGAACAGG
rnacentral:rRNA from 1 species